UCCUGCCUCGGCCUCCCGAGUAGCUGGAAUUACAGGCAUGAACCACCAUGCCCGGCUAAUUUUGUAUUUUUAGUAGAGAUGGGGUUUCUCCACGUUGGUCAGGCUGGUCUUGAACUCCUAACCUCAGGUGAUCUGCCCGCCUUGGCCUCCCAAAGUGCUGGGAUUACAGAAGGCUAUUCUUAACUGAUGAUGUAAUUACUGAUUCAGAAACAGCUGGUUUAGUAAAAUACCUAGUUAACCUAGGACAAUGUCAGCAGGUUUAUACAGAAGUUUGGAACUCAAAGGCUUCCGGUACU
rnacentral:lncRNA from 10 species